AUGUUCCAAGAAUGAAAUCUAAACGACAGCUCACAGUUUUAGUUUUAGUUCUUACAUUAGGUAACACUGUAGUGACAGAAAUAUUCAAAUCACUGAAUUUACGUGUUGCACGCAGCCACUCCCAGGGCCAAAAGUACAAAACCGAGCACCAAAGCCUGCAGGCUGGCUCUGCAAAAACUCUGCACUCAAGCCUUACGUAACCAAGUGCAAAGCAAAGUGUCGAUGCAGUGGAGACGUGUCAUGGAGAGUCAUGUUUCUAUGAUCAGUCGAUCUGCAAAUUACUCCAGGUGGCUUAUAUUUUCAACAAGUUCAUGGUGUUAUAAGAUCUUUUUAUUGCAGAUACUAUUGAGCUGACUAUUCAUUUAGUGCUGGGAAACUGGAGAGAGAAUUCCAAGUCUUGCCUCCUUCCCUCUUCCUGUUCGGUCUUGUGAAACGUGCCUGUCAGCAUGCGCGUCGAUGGCGCUGUUGGACAGCUCAAAGGGCAAGCGUCCCAGUCUCUCAACAGAUUUCCAAUCGGAGGAGUCGAUGCUGCCGGGUAAUGGUGCAGCAUUAGGUCGUGACCUCUGGUCUGGGAUGAUGGACGCUUAGCCUGGUCAGCUCUUAUCAUUGCACAUGAAGGCCACUGAGUGUCUCUCCGUUCCCAGCCUGAUGAAGCUGAUAAGGACUCUGCUCUAAUAGGGUGAAAGCCGGGGGUCAGAAGGAAAAUAUAGCCUCAUCGGGCUUCAGCUCUUGAAAAUGACUGCAAAAAUCCUUCUGAUAAGAUGGAAAAUAAUACAGAAUUGAAUGGAGAAGAAAUCAGUGAUGAUUUUUAUCCCUGCACCGCACUCACAACUAUGCAUUAGCUCCUAAUCAGAGCUGCUGUUUGUCAAAGGGAUUAAAUCAGGUUCGGCUGAACCUUUUCUGACUUCCAGAGUUCUCUGGUUUGUCUAUAUGUAUCUUUUUUUAAGCGUAAGUGCGAAAGGCAGGCAAUGUCAAGCACCGACUCAUUCACACGUAUUUUAAUUCAAUCAAGAAGUUUGUUGCUGAUCGGAACUGAGAGAGAGAUAUCUCAAAAGAUAACGGGACGGGUUUUUGAUUCAGCAUGUUUUGACUGGUAUUAAUUGAGGUGGGAAGGCUUUUCUCCAUCUUCAUUUUUAGCUCCUCUUUCAGAUAAUCUAUCAUAUUUACGUCAUGAUUCCGGCUUGGCGGCUCCAGAACAUUAUUAUUGUCUAAAAUGAAAACUAAAUCUGCUAAUUGGUAGAUCUCAAUUUUAGUGAUACUCCUUCCAUUUCUAAGAAAUUUUGGAACAUUACUAAGUAAUCUAAUGACUUUAUCCUCAAAUAUGUAGCAUUUACAUUCUAUUUUCUGUUAUUUCUGUUCUUUUCGAUGCUGUUUGGUUCUCCAACGACCUCUGUGAAACAUCUGAGGCCUUCGCCGAGCUCUAAUAGCGAGAACUAAAUGUAAAUUGUGCUCUACGAUUCUCAGGUUUUCACUCGUAAAGCGCAUUGAAAGCCAGUUGACGUUGUUUUCCUUGACUUCACGGCUACUACUACGCCACGAACUCCCGGUAAAGCUCGGAGUCGUGGAGGAAAUCAAUAUUGUCUCCAGGCACGACAUAUCUCCGAGUGGAGAGAAGAUGGCGUCGGUUGGAUUCUCAAUUCCCAUCAGGUAUUAACUUCCUCCCGACUCACAGCCGGUCGUGACUUGCAUCACUCAGCGACUCGCAUCAGGUGGUGACAGGCAGCCAUAAGGCCCCUGUUGGUUUGGCAGUGUUUCCUAAAUGCCUCCGCUCACACAAACAUGUUUUUAAAAGAUAGAAUGAUCUAUUUGCUCUGUGUUGCAUCACGAUCUGAA